rnacentral:rRNA from 1 species
GUGGGGAAUUUUGGACAAUGGGCGAAAGCCUGAUCCAGCAAUGCCGCGUGCAGGAUGAAGGCCCUCGGGUUGUAAACUGCUUUUGUACGGAACGAAAAGCCUGGGGCUAAUAUCCCCGGGUCAUGACGGUACCGUAAGAAUAAGCACCGGCUAACUACGUGCCAGCAGCCGCGGUAAUACGUAGGGUGCAAGCGUUAAUCGGAAUUACUGGGCGUAAAGCGUGCGCAGGCGGUUUUGUAAGACAGUGGUGAAAUCCCCGGGCUCAACCUGGGAACUGCCAUUGUGACUGCAAGGCUAGAGUGCGGCAGAGGGGGAUGGAAUUCCGCGUGUAGCAGUGAAAUGCGUAGAUAUGCGGAGGAACACCGAUGGCGAAGGCAAUCCCCUGGGCCUGCACUGACGCUCAUGCACGAAAGCGUGGGGAGCAAACAGGAUUAGAUACCCCUGUAGUCC